UACGUAGGGUGCAAGCGUUAAUCGGAAUUACUGGGCGUAAAGCGUGCGCAGGCGGUCUGUUAAGACCGAUGUGAAAUCCCCGGGCUUAACCUGGGAACUGCAUUGGUGACUGGCAGGCUUUGAGUGUGGCAGAGGGAGGUAGAAUUCCACGUGUAGCAGUGAAAUGCGUAGAUAUCGAGAGGAACACCAGUGGCGAAGGCGAGUCCCUGGACAACACCUGACACUGAGGCACGAAAGCUAGGGGAGCAAACAGG
rnacentral:rRNA from 1 species